GAGCUUAUGCUUGGGACAGCCCCCAUGGGCUAAUGCCUGGGACAGCCCGCUAGAAGCUUAUGCCUGGGACAGUCGCCUGGGACAGCCUGCAGGAGCUUAUGCUUGAGAAAGUUCGUCAGGAGCUUAUGCUUGGGACAGCUCCCAUGUGCUAAUGCCUGGGACAGCCCGCCAGGAGCUUAUGCCUGGGACAGUCCCCACGGGCUAAUAUAUGGAUCAGCCGGCCAGGAGCUUAUGCCUGGAACAGCCUGCCAGGAGCUUAUGCCUAAGACAAUCCUACGGGCUUAUAUGUGGAUC
rnacentral:lncRNA from 1 species